rnacentral:rRNA from 1 species
GAUGAACGCUGGCGGCGUGCCUAAUACAUGCAAGUCGAGCGAACUGAUUAGAAGCUUGCUUCUAUGACGUUAGCGGCGGACGGGUGAGUAACACGUGGGCAACCUGCCUGUAAGACUGGGAUAACUUCGGGAAACCGAAGCUAAUACCGGAUAGGAUCUUCUCCUUCAUGGGAGAUGAUUGAAAGAUGGUUUCGGCUAUCACUUACAGAUGGGCCCGCGGUGCAUUAGCUAGUUGGUGAGGUAACGGCUCACCAAGGCAACGAUGCAUAGCCGACCUGAGAGGGUGGUCGGCCACACUGGGACUGAGACACGGCCCAGACUCCUACGGGAGGCAGCAGUAGGGAAUCUUCCGCAAUGGACGAAAGUCUGACGGAGCAACGCCGCGUGAGUGAUGAAGGCUUUCGGGUCGUAAAACUCUGUUGUUAGGGAAGAACAAGUACAAGAGUAACUGCUUGUGCCUUGACGGUACCUAACCAGAAAGCCACGGCUAACUACGUGCCAGCCGCCGCAGUAACAC